AGUGAACGCUGGCGGUAGGCCUAACACAUGCAAGUCGAACGGCAGCACAGUAAGAGCUUGCUCUUACGGGUGGCGAGUGGCGGACGGGUGAGGAAUACAUCGGAAUCUACUUUUUCGUGGGGGAUAACGUAGGGAAACUUACGCUAAUACCGCAUACGACCUACGGGUGAAAGCAGGGGAUCUUCGGACCUUGCGCGAUUGAAUGAGCCGAUGUCGGAUUAGCUAGUUGGCGGGGUAAAGGCCCACCAAGGCGACGAUCCGUAGCUGGUCUGAGAGGAUGAUACGCCCAACUGGAACUGAGGCACGGUCCAGACUCCUACGGGAGGCAGCAGUGGGGAAUUUUGGACAAAGGGCGCAAGCCUGAUCCAGCCAUACCGCGUGGGUGAAGAAGGCCUUCGGGUUGUAAAGCCCUUUUGUUGGGAAAGAAAAGCAGCAGGUUAAUACCCCGCUGUUCUGACGGUACCCAAAGAAUAAGCACCGGCUAACUUCGUG
rnacentral:rRNA from 1 species